UGGCGCCAGAGUAAUGAGGCCGUAACGCCAU
rnacentral:piRNA from 1 species